GGGGAUUAGCUCAGCGGUAGAGUGGCGGAUUCCAGAUCCGUAGGUCAGGAGUUCGAAUCUGUUAUCC
rnacentral:ncRNA from 14 species